UAGCUUCUGUGUCUGUUUCAUAGGGCUUGGGAGGAAAAAAAAAAAAAGCCUUGCUUUCCCCACCUCUCCUCACCACCCCACCCCCCGAUUAGGGUGCCUGAUCGGUCCUUGUAGCUUUGCUUGGACGAUGUGAGUUGGAGGCGGCUGGGCGUCCGGCUUUGCGGCCAGUAAUCUGAAGCGCCGUGGUUGAAUGGAUAGGAAUUGGCUAACUGGUUUCUCUGCUUCCCGGGCGUUUCGUGACUGUUGGCAAGAAGCGUGCUGCUCACCUGGGCCGGACGGAUGGAUUCCGUGCGGCUGUGGAUGCAGGGCCCGAGGCUGGGCCGCGUGUCGAUCGCGUACAUCUACGUAUUCCGGGAGGCUGUGGUUUGGGCUGGCCGCCUGGCUAAGAGUCUUGCGCCGUAAGAAUUGCAGCAGGUGCACAAAUCGGCAUCGACUGGAUUUUGUGUGGUGCCCAUCGAUCCAGCCACUCUUGACAUCUAACAUUUGAUGAGAGGUGUCCGUGGGAGGUAAUAAAAGCUUUGAGCAGCAUUUGCACAAUAAAGACUUAGCAUGGGGAUAUCA